rnacentral:rRNA from 1 species
UACGGAGGAUGCGAGCGUUAUCCGGAUUUAUUGGGGUUAAAGGGUGCGUAGGCGGACUGGUAAGUCAGCUGUGAAAGUUUACGGCUCAACCGUGGAAUUGCAGUAGAUACUGUUGGUCUUGAGCAUAGAAGAGGUGGGCGGAAUUUGUGGUGUAGCGGUGAAAUGCGUAGAUAUCAGAAAGAACACCAAUUGCGAAGGCAGCUCCCUGGGCUAUAACUGACGCUGAUGCACGAAAGUGUGGGGAGCAAACAGG